UAUAUAUAUUGAUAUUCGGUAUGCACGGUCGUAGAUACUGUUGACCCAAGGAGAACAUUUCUGGUGAUAUUAAAAAAUGUUCUUGGUGUCAUUUUAUGAACCUGUUGUAAAUUGUGUGCUUUGCAUUUUGUUGUUUGUAAAAAAAAGACUUAAGAAUUAAUCAAUAAUUUGAUAAAAAUAAUAAAAUGAACAUUUUAUAAAUAAUUUAAAUGGUUUGUGCCUUCACACACAUGUACAAGUUAUAAUGUAUUCUGUCAUUCACACUAAAUAAAGUAAUAGUAAUAUUUCAUAUAUUUGUCUUUCAUCAUAUUUAGACAAAAUGUUUGUGGUGAUGAUCACAUGAUUUAAGUGAUGUAGGAUUUAGGAGGGAUCUGUUAACAGAAAUUGAAUAUAAUUCAAUUCAUUUUAUUUCGUAUAGCACAACAUUUCAAAUUACAAAUUAGCCUCAGAGGGCGUUACAGUCUGAAUAUCCUCUGUGCCGAAACCCUCACAUAAAAAAAAACAAAAAAAAACUAAAAAACCCUUCGAUGGGGAAAAAAGGGAAGAAACCUCAGUGAGAGCGUCAGAGGAGGAUCCGUCUCCUGAUGGACAGAAUGCAAUGAUGUCAUGAGGACAGAAUAAACAAUGUAAGAUAUGUACAAUACAUUCAAUUCAUAUGACAGAAAUUAUUAAAAUAAUUGAGUAGUAAGCAGGUGUACGACAGGACCACUGCAGGGACAACCACCAUCACAUAGAACCACCAUCACAUAGAACCACCAUCACAUAGAACCAUCAUCACAUAGAACAAUCAUCAGAUAGAACCACCAUCACAUAGAACCAUCAUCAGAUAGAACCACCAUCACAUAGAACCACCAUCACAUAGAACCACCAUCACAUAGAACCACCAUCAGAUAGAACCACCAUCAGAUAGAACAACCAUCACAUAGAACCAUCAUCAGAUAGAACCACCAUCAGAUAGAACCAUCAUCAGAUAGAACCACCAUCAAAUAGAACCACCAUCAGAUAGAACAACCAUCACAUAGAACCAUCAUCAGAUAGAACCACCAUCAGAUAGAACCAUCAUCAGAUAGAACCACCAUCAAAUAGAACCGCCGUCACAUAGAACCACCAUUAGACAGAACCACCAUCAGAUAGAACCACCAUCAAAUAGAACCACCACCACCACAUAGAACCACCAUUAGACAGAACCACCAUCAGAUAGAAACACCAUCCACAGAAGCCUGUGGGGAGGGAAAGCACAAAGACUUUAGGAGAGGGUUAGUAACCAGCAUCUAUGGAGCGCAGUUGCCUUGUAGGGCAAUAAGGUGUUACAAGCUCUUUAAGAUACUCCUUAAAAUCUACUGUUGAUUUAACAGGGAGCCAGUGCAGAGAAGUUAAUACAGGAGUGAUAUGAUCCCUUUUCUUAGUUCUUGUUAAUACACGUUAAUAUAAUACUGACAGUGUUUUUAUUGGUGUAUUGUUUCCUGUUCCUGUUCUUGGCUCAGAAUGAGGCCUUUCUACAUAGGGAGCGGCUUCAAAUCCAGCGUUAUACAAACAUGGACGGCGGAUGGAUGAGUCAACAAAUAAAACAUAUAUUUAAUCCAGCAGAGUGCCGCUGUUUCCUGAGUGAAACCAGAAGUUGACAUUGAUAUAUUUUGUACAUUGCGCGUUGCGUGUAAAGGUGCUUCCCAAUCGAAACGUAAGUUAAGGUUUCGUAGUUUGUUCACUUCAUUUAUAGAAUGAGCUGCAUGAGCGCCAUACUGAACAUUUCCAGAUUAGUUAUUUAGUCAAAACAUUGAUUGAGAACAGGUUAAUGAAUUUCCUUUUGGAGAAACAAUACUCUUUUUUAAUGAAAUGUUUAACAGUGGCUUUUAGGUGAGAUUCACAAAACGUCAUAUUAAGAACUAAUACAAGGCACAGCAAACAAAGCUAACAUUCACACACUGUAGUCACAGCUACUGGAGUGGUGUUGGGGGCAACGGGUUUGCCGAAGGACACAGGAGUCAAACUGGAGAUCGUGCUCUCCUCCCUCCCACAGACGUCUUUAUGUACCACUGCUGAAGAUGCGAUCUGUCGCGUCUCGGAUGUGUAUUCUGCCAGAAGCCGCAGAUUCUGCAGGUCACACAAAGCCAAAUCCCAGCAACUGUGAACUCAGGCAGAGAGGCCGACACACACAAACACAGGCUAACUAAUAGGAGCGCCGCUGAGCUGCUUCCUCGUGGGAACCCUCAACCCUUGACCUUCAACAUCUGUCUGGGAGUGCGAGGUUUCAGCUAUAGUGUUUCCACGAUAAGAUGCACUGCUGGGAACAGAGCGUUUCGGGCACGCAAACACCCCUCCACUUACAUGCUACCUACUCAAAGUGAGUAGGCACAGCAGUGAGGUACCACACGUCAUCUGAAACGCUAUGUUCGGAUAUAAAAAUGACCUCAUUAAAUGUCGGCUGGUUUGAUAAACCUGAAUAAAUAUAGUGAUAGAUUUUUAACUGCUAAAUAUUAUCCUUUGUUUCAGAUACUAAUGUAUUCAUAUAUCAGAUUUGUAUUUUUUUUGUGUUUAAAUUAAAUUAAAUCUGCUUUACAGGAAAGCAAAUAGCCAUCAAGUGGUGCAAUGGGUUAGCAUGUGCUAUUUAUAGGAUAAUAUAGUCACUGUGAGUCAGGAGUGUGACCACAGCGUCAUUACCAUGCGCGUGAUUGGGGGACAUCCAGCAGGGUUAGCGGCUGCUUUUGAACCGGUUUUAACACGAUUUUAACAAAUAGGUAUGAAUAUUGAAGAUAUUUCAAAGUAGUGUAGUAUUGAAUCGAGAUACUUUCAAAUCACAGCAUUUCUGUUGCAUUCAAACUCUUAAGAGCUUUAAGUACACAGACAACACGCAUGGAAAUGGAGAUAAACCGCAGAGACAAAAUCGUUGCCGUGUUCCAGUUAGGAUCAGCGAGGAUCAAUGACCUUUCUUAGCAGCACUUUAUGGCUUUUUCCGUAUCAAUACGUGAAAUCCCAGUUGUUAGCACUGAGUCCAUUUACUCAUGUUGGAGGAGGCCAUAUAAUACUGAGGCUGGUGACCCGGUGACUGCGUGAUGUCUUCCCACUGCCACUGGGAUGUGCUUCAAUUACAAGCCUCUGUGUGUGUUCGUGUGUUUGUGUGUGUGCGUGCAGUUGACAAGUGAAAAGUACACAUUGAAGGGCCAUUUUGGUCACACUUUGAAUUGUACCAAAAGCACAAAGCAUCUAAAACCUUCUGGAAAAUGAGACCAUGCAUGUGUGUGAGUGACGGCUGAAAAAGAACACGUAACAACUCAACUACUUUCAAGCUCCACACUGCAUUAAAUCCACCUAGAACGCUGAGGAGUUCAUUUUAAAACCAUGUGACAAUGUCCCAAAACAAAGCACCUGGUUUGGUCACAAACAGACAGGGGGAGAUAGCCAGGACUCCAGGAAGAAUGGAAAUGCAAUGAAAUAACCUCAGUCUUCACUGUGUCUACGUCCGAAAACAAAGCUUGUCAAUCGUCAUUAUCAGAGAAAUGCUACCACUUGGAGUCAGAGGGUCCGAAAAGGAGACUCUCAGAUCCAGAGAUUCUACCUGGCGGCCUUUCACUUCUAUGAAAAUGCUAAUUACAUUUAUAUGUGAGAAAACAAGCAUUCAAGAAAAAGCUUCCAUUACAUUUUUUAUUUUUCAUGCUGCCCAGAGAAAGGGGGUCUGCCCUUGUUUAAUGCAGAUGUAGAGUCCUUUGUUGUGGACCACAAGGGUUCUGUAACCCUAACCGACCAGGAGCUGAAGGGGACCCAGACCUCGGGCUCCAGCAGCAGAUGCCGCCUUUGAACUUUGUUACUGAUCAGGGUCACGGUCCCUCUUAGUCUCUCUCUCUUUGUCUCCAUGACUCCCUUUUUGUCUCACGCACACAUGUAUUAAGACAAGUAGCUUUACUAAUGAAAUACCUUUUAACCUUAUGUCGUAAAUGACCCGCAUGCAUAUUUAUGCAGCAACUGUAUUGUACAAAGCCAAUAAUUGUUUUCCGCGUGUGCAUUAAUAAAAGAAUCGACUCCCUCUGCUAAAAAGCUCCAUCCAAUACAUUAUACACAUUAUUGCACUGAGUGCUUUGCUCCUCCAUUAAGAGAGAAAGCCCACGUUUAUUUUCGUCUCAAUACCACAUGAGAACUCGAGGUAUGCCGUAGAAAAACUCUAUAAUGCUGCUGUAAUUUACCAUCAAAACCUUUGACAUUUGUAGAUUUUGGAGAUGAUGUGGAGUGUUUCCGUUCUGUGAACCUCCUUUUUGUCAAUGUGCCGAGGAGAGCCGCACAUUAUCAAUGAACGCCUCUAGCCUGUGGAUGCCCGUGGUGCUGUGAGGACGAACCUCAUCACCCAUGAAUAGAAUUGGGCUUAUUGGACCCGCAAGAUUCAGUUAGCACGAAUUGGGCACGUCUGUAAAGCGGUUCCCAUACGUGGUGGCGAGAGGUCAAUGGACCCCUGUGAAUGACGCCAGGGCACUUUUUCCCUUUCCAAAAUAUAGCCCGAAUUUGGAGUGCAUUUUGCCCCUUUCCAAACAAGCUAGUAUGUUACAGUUACCAACUGAUUCCUUGGGUCGUCCAGUUGGAAACCAACAACUCAACCUAUGAGCCUGGUUUUGUGUUUAAAGAGGUUAAAAGGUUAAUACACCUUUAUAAAUGAUCUAAUUGUGUAAUGUACAAUAAAACAGUGCAGGAUUAAUGUUAAAUAUUGUCAUGCAUGUUCUGUCAGGGACUCUGGCGCUGCAUGUUUUCCAGCCAUUGCUGAUGAUUUGCGUCGGGGGUGCGUCAUAAGGUGUCACGGUUUGGGUUUAUUUCCUGCUUUAUUUUGUAGUUUCCUGCCUGUUGUGUCCCUGGGUCAACUUCACUUCCUGCCUUGUCCUGGUGUCCCCUGUGAUCGUCUGCCGUGUCCCUGGUUGUUUCCAGCUGUGUGGAAUCACCUGCACCUCCCCGGUGUGUCUCUUGUUCCUUGUUGCAUCAUUGAAGGUCUUUCCUGAAGAAACUGUCAGUGAGUUCCUGGUCCUUGUCUGCGACUUCCCCCCCCAGGCAUUUUGAUUUAUUAAAGUACUUUUUGUUUUCAACUCUGCAUUUGAGUCCUGCUUCCGGCAACCUCAGCCCGUUUUGUGACACAAGGUUGGACUCGUGUACAAGCGAAGACAAAAAGACAAAAGGAUUUCCCAGUGGACUCGUCUGUAACGUCAGAGCUUUGUGUUAACCAGCUUCUCCGAUCGGUAGACCAGCGCCCACAAGGUACGUAGGUCAUGGAAUUGCAUACGGUACCAUGUGAGACACUUGUUUUCAAGUUAUUUAAAACAGAGGUAACAAAAUAUCAGUCUUUUGCUAAUUCUGCUAAUCUUAAAUGAGCAUACAGGUUCAUACAGAGUGACACUCGGCAUGUCAAGUUCAAAGUGCGUCCAUAACUGUUAUUUGCUGUAUUAGUUAUGUGUACAUAACUGAGUACAUUUACUGUUGAAUUCUCUGUAUGUUGAAUAGGAGAAGAAUGUAAAUGUGCAUUUGGUGUUUUUAAAUGGACGGGAACAAAAGUCAAUGACUGAACAAACAGGAUGAAAGCUUGGAAUCAAAGCUUGGAAAAUUUAAGUUUUCAACUUUAGGCUUCAAAUUUAAUCUCUGUAAAACGAUCAGAAUUAAAUAUUUAGCACCUUCGGCAACCCAUGAGCGCCUCUCAGCCGCUGCCGUCCGGCCGGACUCCCACUUCCAGCCACGUCGGCGUGCGCUCGGCCCUUCGGCUUAUUUGCCCAGGCCUGAAUUGCAAAUUGACCACAAAACCUCCCAAAAAUAAUGUCACAAAGACCAUGGAUACUCCUACUUGAAGAGUGUCCCUGAAGAGGAAAGGUGAGACAUUUGGAACAAUCCUCCUCUUUUAAAGAUUAACUGAGUGCAACAGUUUUAUUUGGGGGGGGAAAUGCAACUUGUUUGCCUCUCAACAGGAUGAUUCUUAACCUCAGAAUAUCACUGGGCGGUUCAACCAGGGAUAAUCUGAAGUCCUCUGUGAAGUAUCGCAGGAUCUUUGAGCUAUAUUCAUUUUUUUAUUGUGUACAAUUAAUUCCCACGUAGCUGCAUGUUUUGGACCUGUGAUUUCUACAGAAAGUAACUAAUAAACAGAAAAAAACAGCCAUACUUUUUUCAGAGAAGAAAAAGAAAAGAUUUUUUCUGAACUUUUGCGCUGCGAAUAAAGGAAUCAACCAAACAGGUUUGGCUGCGCCGAUAUUUAUUAAACCAAACAGAAGCUCCGUGGUCUCGACUGACACAGUCUUCUUACCACUGACACCCAAGACCAGAACCACCCGUUCAGCCCUGAGCUUUCUCAUUAAAGGAGAAUGUAACACAUGACGCUUUAUAAUCUUUGCAGUAAGUGUGUUGCAGCUCAGCACGGUUAAUUCCAUCGCCAUUUAAUUCAUUUGUCUUUUGGAGAAAAAAAACAGAUUUUUUGAUUGCUAAAAAUCACAUGUCAUCAAGUAUAACGGGGCCGUUGUGUAAUUUUUCCUCAAUUGAGCGCAUUGUACUUGAUUAUGUCUUUACCAAAGAUACCAGUAGAUUCAUUGUCGGUCAAAAUAAAAUAGCACACGUAUUUGGAAAUGCAUUAUAUCGGGCGUGAAUUGAGACGUGUUGCAGGCUUUGGUAUAAUAACGCACCUAAAACGAGGAGAAGCAAACUGCUGCAUUAUUCCAGUUAUUUCACCAUCCAGUGUUUCUUUAAGGCCGUCACAAUUCAUCGUGAGUACAGGGAUACUCUCUGAGAACAGGAGCACUAAUGCACUCGCUUUAAUGACUCGUACCACACAUGCUGACGACAACGGAUCCCUUCUGGCCGCCGUGGCACUCAUCAUUUUAGAUCCCGGGAUGACACAAAGAGAAGACAAAGAAGAAUCUACUCUGCGGGUACGUAGAGUGGACCCGAUCUGCCUCAUCCAUCCGGAAAAACUGCCUUUUGCCCCUUAAGGGGUUCGCUCCGUUGUUGCUGUCAGGUGUCACUUCAGCGCGAAACCGGAUGCGACCCUCCUCCACCUCCAGCAGCUAUCAGGCAUUCUUCAGUCAUCCUCAGUUUUCAUCAACUCCCUUCUUCACCACCACCAGUGUCUGGACUGGGUAAUUCUGCCGAGCAGAACUCACGGCCCUUUGAUUAUCCUGGUUUAGGAUAAACAGUCCAAUCACCAAAGAUUGUGCACUAUUUCAAUGUUAUACAGGUGUAACAAAUGUUUGUCGGUUCGGACCGAGUCUCUUCUGAUUGAAAUACGCAGGGAGGAAAUCCUCCAUGGGCCGACCCAGAGAACGCUGCAGUACAUCGGGAACCGCGGUGAGCUGGGAUCGAUACCACUUGGUGACAGCAGAGAGUCCUCACAUCGCAUUUACAUUUAUAAAAGUUACACGUCGAAAUUCAGGAAGAAACAUGAUAUGAAAAAGCAACCAGAUCUUAUGGAAUGUGUUUCAUUUUAAGGACAUUCUCUUUUCUUCUUCUUUUAUCUGUCAGGAGGUUUUAUUCACCAAAGGUCACCAUUAAAUAGUGCUUGAUUUGCAUAAUUAGACAUAACAUUUUAGAACAUUUCUUGAUUUUAUCAGUCAAAUGGGAAAGUGGGUGGUAUCAACUGUUCUCAGUAGUACGAUUUUAAGUAAGAUUUGAUCUCCCAGGUCCAGAACCCCCCCCCCCUACUCUGUUUGGACCAUGUAAGACAAUGAGUGCUCUAGAACGUCCAGGCUCCAGAUGUCCUGGAGCAGCGCGCCAAACGCAAAGCGGGGCCCGGCGCUCGAAGCCGCAGAAGAAAAAAGGAUGCGUGGAGCUAUAAGCGUUGCUGCUUCGGUUUGGCUCGUGGCCACAGGGCGAGUUGUGGGGGAGGUCUUGGCUUUCGGCGAUGCAGAUUUAUCUUUAGACCAUGGCUCUGAACAUCCGCUCCCCACACUGUUUCACCUGCUCCUCCUCAAUCAAACCCGCUGUUAGCCAUCGAGGAAAGUAAAAUGGAAAAUUAUAAGAAAAUGAAUUCUCUGGCCAAACUCACACUACAUCUUUUCCUAAGUCGCAAACAACACCCCGAGGUACUAGAACUCCUUCACUUGGGGUAAGGACACUUUCGCUACCACGAGCAGGCCACUGCGGAGUUGUUGUAACUACUUCCACCAGACAAAUUAACGAUGAUCCUUCAUCAGCCUCGAGCUCCACCUCUGGCAAAGAGGUCGUAGUAGAUCCAGGAAUUCCUCAUAAUGCUCUUUCCGUCGCCCAAUAACCUCCCAAUUUGCGGUCAACAGACUCCAAGUUGAAUGCCCCCCGCCAAAUCCACAGGACUAUAAGAGAAGCUUUGCCAGAGGUGUUCUUUGGACCGGCACCUUCUCGAGAUGUUGUCAGUUGACACGCACAACGCGUUUGGGUUUCCUACGUCCUUCCUGAGUCUUUCCCCAUCCUCUGACCCAACUCCAGACCCACCAGAUGGUGAUGAGUUAACAACUAUGCCCCUCUCCUAACCCGAGUGCCCAAAACAUCAGGGAGGCCGUUCCUCCAAAUCAUGGCUCUACAGUCUCAAUAGUCGCCCACGUUUGCAUUGAAGUCUCCCAGUAGGACUACGUCCCUCUUCCGUUUUUUCAUGUUUUUUGAACUAUUCAUGGUCUGGCCCCUCGCCUGAGACCACUUUGCCAAAGGUACCCCUACGAGGAGGACCAGGCUCCAGACAACACAGCCCUCAGUUCCAUAGGAACACACCAACCUCUCCACCCCAAUAAGGUGCUGGUCCCCGAGGAGCUAAAAUAGCAAUGUGACCAUGUAGUAAUGAUAGAUUCAAUUUCAGUGGUUGUGUGGAGACUC
ensembl:lncRNA